rnacentral:rRNA from 1 species
CACCUCUAGCAUAACAAGUAUUAGAGGCAUUGCCUGCCCAGUGACUGUAGUUAAACGGCCGCGGUAUCCUGACCGUGCAAAGGUAGCAUAAUCACUUGUUCCUUAAUUAGGGACUUGAAUGAAUGGCUAAACGAGGGUCCAACUGUCUCUUAUUUUCGAUCAGUGAAAUUGACCUUCCAGUGAAGAGGCUGGAAUCCUAAAAUAAGACGAGAAGACCCUAUGGAGCUUAAAUUAAUAAACUUAUAUGAAUAUCUUCCAUAAACCUAAUGGAAUAAAAACAGAAAUAAUAAGCUUAAAAUUUUGGUUGGGGUGACCUCGGAGAACAGAAAAUCCUCCGAACGAUUAUAACAUAGACCAACAAGUCAAAGUAAACCAACUUUCCAAUUGACCCAAAAAUUUGAUCAACGGACCAAGUUACCCUAGGGAUAACAGCGCAAUCCUAUUUAAGAGUCCAUAUCGACAAUAGGGUUUACGACCUCGAUGUUGGAUCAGGACAUCCCAAUGGUGCAGAAGCUAUUAAUGGUUCGUUUGUUCAACG